UUUUUUACUAGGGUGCUGACUAAGCCUUUACACAUUUGAAAAUCACCAUAAGCAAUUAGAUCUCGUACCAAGCUUCAGCCAAGUUGACCCAAAUAAUUAUUGCAUCUUUAAGCUCUUAAUUUUCAAAGGGGUUUUGUUUGUUUUUAAAAGGUGAGCUUUUUGAAUGUACUUGCAGAAGUCAAACUAGAAGUGAUAAGUUUCAGUGCAAAGCCUGUUUUCAUAGUUCUGGUGUGUAGGUAUGAUGCAUGGAUGUCUACAGCUGCAGUAACUACCACACAUAUGGAGUGUAAUAAUAGAUAAAGUCUUGUAGUAUUGCAAAAAUCUUGGCUGGAAUGGCACUGUAUUCCUGACAUGACCAUGCUUAAGCCCUUUACAUAUACCCCCAACUGGUUGAAAUAGAACAAUCUUUCUUCCAAACUCUAACUUAACACAAAAUAUCAGAUAAGCUAAUACACACUUUCUUUUGCUCCUCCUCUCCUGGCACAUCUUCCUGUGCCUAGUUCAGACCUAAACAAUGAUGCCUCAGUAAGCCUCGACUAUAUCACAUUGGCACUGCAUUUCAUAUCUGCAUGUUCUCUAGCAUUUUUGCUCCAAGAAAUAUCUGCACCUUGUAGUAUUAAGCCCCAUGAUUUUGUAGUAUAAUUUUAUAGUAUAUCCCAGAAAAUUGCUUUAUUUACUCCACAUUUAAUUGUUUGAUAAAAUAUUCCUAUAUGUACAAAGGAAACCUUUUUGUCUUUAGGUACAGAAAACAUUACUAGAUAUCCAAAAAAUAAAGCCUUUAUAAAGCUUGCAUAUACAUACAUGCUCUUGUAGAAACUGGUACCACCACUGGAAUACAAACUAAACAAGUGGAAUUUUGCAGCUGCUUCUGUAUGAAAAUAGCUUAAAUCAAUGCAUUCUUCCUGCUAAACCCAAUGCAUACCAAGUAAAACCAUUCCCUGCCUUCUGCAUUUAGCUAUGUUGUCACUUAUGUGGAUAGCAUUUCAGAGCCUAAGAAGGAAACUUCAUUCAGGAAGACAUUUUAAUCCAUCAACAUAUUAACCGGAGCUAAUGUGUCAUUUUUGCAGCAUGGAACAGAAAAUUAUUUCUUUGAUUCAUUGAAACAUACCAUUUUUGUCUUACAUUUGUAAAUAGUUGAUGGCAAUAACACUUCAAUACCACUAAACAGAAAUGGGCUCAGAGCAAGCAUUUCAGGUAGAUGCCAUUUCUAGAGGCAUAAAAAACAAAACCUGGUGGAACUGCUCCCAGCUCUGGAUCCUGUCACGCUGUCACAGCGGACAGGGAAAGUCUGCAGCAGUCUCAUGCAAAUUUUAAAAGAGGAAGAUUUAAUAAAUAAAAUAUACUUAAAAUCCAUCAGUGGCCCAGUUUUAUUUCUUCUGACAGUUGAUUCAUUUUAUUCAGUGAUAUCUUAUUUUGUCCUCUGCAUACUGAGUACUUUGUAGUAAUAGAAACAUUGAAGAAGUAUGUUAUCAUUAUAGCCCAAGGAUAAUGGAGGUAAAGCUUAUAGGGAGAAGUUAAAUUUUGUUAAACCAAAUGUUAUAGGUAGGCAAAAUACAGUAGUUUUCACACAUAAGACUAUCUUUGAUACUCAGAGAAGUUGGCUACACUUCCCACUCUAUUUCUAAUUAAUAUGAUUGACUCAUAUCUACAAACCAUUUUUCUCAAUCCCAUUUAUUCAUUCGUUUUCAAUGGUUCCCCUUCCAGUUCGGGAAAGGGACUUCACUACUUUAUGCUGUUGCUUUUCCUUAGAGGAAACCUUGGAUUCAGAAAGUUCUGUAGCAGAUGAAUUCUUGCCUGAUAACUGCAGCCAUAAGAGUCACAGGCCUGAAGGUGGCCUGGGUCUCCCAGGUAUCAACCCACAAGCUCAGCUCUUUGGAUGUCCUUCUGGUGUGGGUCUCCUUAUCACUCCAGAAAGAAAGCAAUACAUUUAUAUGAUGCAUUUAUCCUUCUAUAACUUCUGUUCAGAUGAUUAAUUUGACACUGUGACAUUUAAGAGGCUAGGGUAAGGGGUGUUAUACCCAAGCAUAUGAGUUGUCUACCCCUCACUAUUUGCCUUGAUUUCUCAUUUGCAAAAUGAGGUUAAUAGCACACUUCCAAGAAACAUUGUGAAACAAUACUAGAGAUACUGGGGAAAACUGAUAGCUAGGGACCUGCUUGGGACCUUGUCAUUUGUCUUCAAAGGAGUAACACAAUCUCACUACAGAAUCACCUGGAACAUGAAAACCUUUUUUACAGGGGUCAGUUUUAACAUGUUCGAGCAGUAAAGAACGUUUCCAUUAACAAUGAGUCCCUGUGAUCAUUUCUACUUCUCAUUGACAGUAUCUGGAUUGCAGUCAUUCAAGUUAUACAACAACAAACAAAGGCCUGGGAACUAACCUGUGUUAAUUAUAUUUGUAUCUUUUGAAACCUGGAGUCCCGCUUGCUGAGCUUGCAGGAACUGAGGGUGGUUCAACAGCAGCUUGCUUUGACCACGAGUGGUGAUGGUUGAGCAGGGAGGUCCCCACGUGGCUCUGUACCCAUCCAUGCUGGUCACACUGGCAGCAAUGGAGCU